rnacentral:rRNA from 1 species
AAAUUGAAGAGUUUGAUCAUGGCUCAGAUUGAACGCUGGCGGCAGGCCUAACACAUGCAAGUCGAACGGUAGCACAGAGAGCUUGCUCUCGGGUGACGAGUGGCGGACGGGUGAGUAAUGUCUGGGAAACUGCCCGAUGGAGGGGGAUAACUACUGGAAACGGUAGCUAAUACCGCAUAACGUCGCAAGACCAAAGUGGGGGACCUUCGGGCCUCACACCAUCGGAUGUGCCCAGAUGGGAUUAGCUAGUAGGUGGGGUAACGGCUCACCUAGGCGACGAUCCCUAGCUGGUCUGAGAGGAUGACCAGCCACACUGGAACUGAGACACGGUCCAGACUCCUACGGGAGGCAGCAGUGGGGAAUAUUGCACAAUGGGCGCAAGCCUGAUGCAGCCAUGCCGCGUGUAUGAAGAAGGCCUUCGGGUUGUAAAGUACUUUCAGCGAGGAGGAAGGCGUUGUGGUUAAUAACCACAGCGAUUGACGUUACUCGCAGAAGAAG